GCUAAGGCCCUGAGGCAGGUGUGCUUGGCUGGUUUGAAGAAGAGCAAGGACACUGGGGUUGGGGGUGUCACAAGCGGCAAGGCAGCAGGAGCCAGGCCACUGUGGGCUUUGUGGGCCCUGCUAAGGACUUUUGCUUUCGGAUGUAGUUUUCAACAGAAGGGUGACCUGAUUUGCCCCACAGCAUAACGGUACCGGCCACUGGGCGGAAGGCAGGCUGGCGGGGACGCGGGCAGAAGUACAGGAGCCCGAAGCAGGGCGCUGCGCGAACCCUGGCCAGUGUCCCCAAGGCUUGGGCCAGGUGGGGGCGAUGGCGGCGGGAGAGCAGCCCGACCCCAGCCUGACUCCGACUGCGCAUGUGCCGGAGGCCGACAGGGGGCCCUGAGGCAGCAGGAGGACGAGCACGAGGCCGGGGUUUGGCCGCGACCGCCCAUCCGGGAACAGAUGACCCGGGCAAACGUGGAAAUGAAGGCAAUACAAAGAUGGGAGAUGCUGGAAGUCACCUGGUUUGUGAUAUAAUUGAGAUUAUUCGAUAAGCAUUCCCUGUGAUGUUUGAGGUCCAGGAACUCAUCUGCUGUCCUGCUGCUUUAGAAACGUAACUUUGAUAAACAUUAAACACUGUAAUCUUUAAGGUGUAACCUUGACUUUUUAAAAACUGCUUU
rnacentral:lncRNA from 1 species